rnacentral:rRNA from 1 species
CCUACGGGUGGCAGCAGUGAGGAAUAUUGGUCAAUGGGCGAGAGUCUGAACCAGCCAAGUAGCGUGAAGGAUGACUGCCCUAUGGGUUGUAAACUUCUUUUAUAUGGGACUAAACUGUUCCACGUGUGGGAUUUUGUAUGUACCAUAUGAAUAAGGAUCGGCUAACGCCGUGCCAGCAGCCGCGGUAAUACGGAGGAUCCGAGCGUUAUCCGGAUUUAUUGGGUUUAAAGGGUGCGUAGGUGGAUGGUUAAGUCAGUUGUGAAAGUUUGCGGCUCAACCGUAAAAUUGCAGUUGAAACUGGCAGUCUUGAGUACAGUAGAGGUGGGCGGAAUUCGUGGUGUAGCGGUGAAAUGCUUAGAUAUCACGAAGAACUCCGAUUGCGAAGGCAGUUCACUGGACUGCAACUGACACUGAGGCUCGAAAGUGUGGGUAUCAAACAGGAUUAGAUACCCCUGUAGUC